rnacentral:tRNA from 1 species
GCCUUGAACGUCCAGUGGUUAGGAAAUUACGUUGUGGCCGUAGUUACACAGGUUCGAAUCCUGGUCACGGCA